UAGAGUUUGAUCCUGGCUCAGGAUGAACGCUGGCGGCGUGCCUAACACAUGCAAGUCGAACGAAGCGCCCGCGCGGAUUCCCUCGGGAUGAAGCGCGGAUGACUGAGUGGCGGACGGGUGAGUCACGCGUGGGCAACCUGCCCCGUGCCGGGGGACAACAGCCGGAAACGGCUGCUAAUACCGCAUGAUCCGGGAGGGCCGCAUGGCCCUGCCGGGAAAGCUCCGGCGGCACGGGAUGGGCCCGCGUCUGAUUAGGUUGUUGGCGGGGUAACGGCCCACCAAGACUGCGAUCAGCAGCCGGCCUGAGAGGGCGGCCGGCCACAUUGGGACUGAGACACGGCCCAGACUCCUGCGGGAGGCAGCAGUGGGGAAUAUUGCACAAUGGGGGAAACCCUGAUGCAGCGACGCCGCGUGGGCGACGAAGCGCUCCGGCGCGUAAAGCCCUGUCAGCAGGGAAGAAAAAAGACAGUACCUGACCAAGAAGCCCCGGCUAACUACGUGCCAGCAGCCGCGGUAAUACGUAGGGGGCAAGCGUUAUCCGGAUUCACCGGGCGUAAAGGGAGCGCAGGCGGCACGGCAAGUCUGGUGUGAAAGCCCGGGGCCCAACCCCGGGACUGCAUUGGAAACUGCCGGGCUGGAGUGCCCGAGAGGUAAGCGGAUUUCCUGGUGUAGCGGUGAAAUGCGCAGAUAUCAAGAAG
rnacentral:rRNA from 1 species